rnacentral:rRNA from 1 species
AUGGGCGUCGGCCGCACCAGCCGCGGCGGGCCCUCCACCGCGGGCCGGCCCUACUUCCCGCCGAUCUCCGCGCCGCCGGCCUCCUCCUCCCCCUCCCCGCCCUCCCCGCCGGCGCCCCCCGUCGAGACGGCCUCCACGUCCGUCACCAAGACCGUCAACGGGUCGCACCACUUCAAGAUCGCCGGCUACUCGCUCGCCAAGGGGAUCGGGGUCGGCAAGUACAUCGCCUCCGAGUCCUUCACCGUCGGCGGCUUCGAGUGGGCCAUCUACUUCUACCCCGACGGCAAGAGCGCCGAGGACGGCGCCGCCUACGUCUCUCUCUUCAUCGCGCUCGCCAGCGAGGGCACCGACGUGCGCGCGCUCUUCGAGCUCACGCUCGUCGACCAGAGCGGCAAGGGCCAGGACAAGGUGCACACCCACUUCGGGAGGUCGCUCGAGGGCGGGCCCUACACGCUCAAGUACCGGGGCAGCAUGUGGGGUUACAAACGGUUCUUCAAACGUUCUGGCCUGGAAACAUCAGAUUAUCUCAAAGAUGAUUGCCUUCUGGUAAACUGCACCGUUGGUGUUGUUCAGUCACAUACUGAAGGGCCAAAGAUAUACAGGAUACCAGUGCCACAGUCUGACAUGUCUCAGCAUAUUGGGCAUUUGUUGACCAGUGGGAAGAGAACCGAUAUAACAUUUGAAGUUGAUGAAGAGAUGUUUCCUGCUCACAAGGUGGUUCUUGCAGCCCGAUCACCAGUUUUUAGGGCACAACUCUUUGGUCCCAUGAAGGAUAAAAACAUGAAGUGCAUAAAGAUUGAAGACAUGGAGGCUCCAGUGUUCAAGGCCUUGCUCCAUUUUAUGUACUGGGAUGAGUUGCCCAACAUAGAAGAGCUUACUGGUUUAAAUACGACUUGGGUUUCCACUUUGAUGGCUCAGCAUUUGCUUGCAGCUGCUGACCGGUAUGCAUUGGAGAGACUAAAGCUGCUUUCUGAACUCAAGCUAUGUGAAGAUGUUGCGAUAAACACAGUUGCAAAUACUUUGGCGCUGGCUGAACAGCACCAUUGCCACCAGCUAAAAACUGUUUGCUUGAAAUUCGUGGCCUCGCCGGAAAAUUUGAAAGCUGUCAUGCAAACUGAAGGAUUCGAUUAUUUGCAGCAAAGCUGCCCUUCUCUCCUGACUGAGCUUCUGGAGUAUGUUGCGAAGGUAGGAGACCAUGCUGUGCCCCCCUGCUUAUAUUCCAAUGAAGUGCUGGAUGGUGGCGAUGCCAAUGGAAGACGCGUGAAACCAAGACUUUAA